rnacentral:rRNA from 1 species
CGACGAUUAAGCACCUUCGGGUGUGUAUAGAGUGGCGAACGGGUGAGUAACACGUGACCAACCUGCCUCUUACAUUGGGACAACCAAAAGAAAUUCUGGCUAAUACCAAAUACUCCGCACAUAUCACAUGAUGUAUGCGGGAAAGCUUUUGCGGUAAGAGAUGGGGUCGCGGCCCAUUAGGUAGACGGCGGGGUAGAAGCCCACCGUGCCGAUGAUGGGUAGCCGGGUUGAGAGACCGACCGGCCACAUUGGGACUGAGAUACGGCCCAGACUCCUACGGGAGGCAGCAGUGGGGAAUAUUGCGCAAUGGGGGAAACCCUGACGCAGCAACGCCGCGUGCGGGAUGAAGGCCUUCGGGUUGUAAACCGCUUUCAGCAGGGAAGACAUCGACGGUACCUGCAGAAGAAGCCCCGGCUAACUACGUGCCAGCAGCCGCGGUAAUACGUAGGGGGCGAGCGUUAUCCGGAUUCAUUGGGCGUAAAGCGCGCGCAGGCGGUUGCUCAAGCGGAACCUCUAAUCUCGGGGCUUAACCUCGAGCCGGGUUCCGAACUGGACGACUCGAGUGCGGUAGAGGCAGAUGGAAUUCCCGGUGUAGCGGUGGAAUGCGCAGAUAUCGGGAAGAACACCAACGGCGAAGGCAGUCUGCUGGGCCGUCACUGACGCUGAGGCGCGAAAGCUGGGGGAGCGAACAGGAUUAGAUACCCUGGUAGUCCCAGCCGUAAACGAUGAGCGCUGGGUGUGGGAGAUUACAUCUUCCGUGCCGAAGCUAACGCAUUAAGCGCUCCGCCUGGGGAGUACGGCCGCAAGGCUAAAACUCAA